UAGGGAAUCUUCCGCAAUGGACGAAAGUCUGACGGAGCAACGCCGCGUGAGUGAAGAAGGCUUUCGGUUCGUAAAACUCUGUUGUUAGGGAAGAAAAAAUGUAUAGUAACUAUAUACAAAAGAGACGGUACCUAACCAGAAAGCCACGGCUAACUACGUGCCAGCAGCCGCGGUAAUACGUAGGUGGCAAGCGUUGUCCGGAAUUAUUGUGCGUAAAGCGCGCGCAGGUGGUUUAGAAAGUCUGAUGUGAAAGCCCACGGCUCAACCGUGGAGGGUCAUUGGAAACUAAUAAACUUGAGUGCAGGGGAGAAAAGUGGAAUUCCUAGUGUAGCGGUGAAAUGCGUAGAGAUUAGGAGGAAAACCGAUGGCGAAAGCGGCUUUUUGGCCAGCAACUGACACUGAGGCGCGAAAGCGUGGGAAGCAAACAGG
rnacentral:rRNA from 1 species